UUGGCAGCAAAGCAGCUGGGGGCCAUUUUGUCAAGAAGUACUCCUUUGGAGAAAAACAAAACAAAACAAAAGGCAUACAGGUGCACGCCAGUGUCCUCAUAAUAAACUAUAACAAAGGUGGCAAUUAAGUUCCAUUAGGGGCAGACAGCUUUAAAUUAGAUAAUGUAUUCAGAAAGCAUUCUAUAAACUGCGGAGUGUGAGAAUGUGAAGCAUUAUUAUUAUUAUCCUUAUUUCUGCAAAAUUGCCCGGAUUGCUAUGCCUGCCAAGGCCAGUUAAAGGGCCAGGGGAUAGAGAAGACCAAAUGAGUAGCUCUCUGGGGAGAGGAGACAGAGGCGAAAGGGUUAAGCUCCCCAGAACACCAACGUAUGCAAAGGGUUAGAUCCCAACCGGUUUUCAGGCCAGCGCUGAGAUCUGAAUUACAAAUUUACAGAAUUUGCUGCUCAGUAAUUUUUUUUUUUUCCUCCCCUAAUGGCGCCUGUUAAUUUCCAGUUGGCCACUUUGUGUUCACUGAUGGCAUGAGGAAGGUCUAGCAUGCAGAGACGUAUUUCUACUCCCCGUGCGGACCCCCUUUUAAGAAGGCUUCAAAAGGGACAUGCAGAGGAUGCUUAAAACCCACCCUCAUCAUUCUUACCAUUCUGCAAAGCGCAUGCCCUGCGUCUGCGGCUUGGGUGAGUUAAUAAUCGAAAUCAUCUUCCUUUCCAAAACUGUCUUUAAAGUAGGAAGGCUAGCUGAUUUACCUUUUUGUGGCUUAAGAUCCACGUGGGACUAUUUGGCCUAAGAAGUGGCGUUUGUCAGGUCCGGAUUGUAGAAAUCUGUUCCCUUCUGGGGGUGGGGGGGCAGACGGAGAAGGAGCCAGCGGGACACAGAUUCCAGUCUCUUGGAGUCUGAUUUAAUGGGGCUCCAUUGCCAUUGCCUCUGGACUGUUUGCAAGCAAACAAGGACAGUCCAGCUCAAGCGUGUGCGUGUGUGUGUGUGUGUUGAAAUCCUGGGUAGCUUGCUCCAAGAAAAGAGCAGGGGGAAUGCAACAAAAACCGAAGAACUUAACUUUCUUUCUCUUUUCCCUCCGUUUUUGGCACUUCUUUAGGCAUGCCUCCCCUCCCCUGGAUGAUGAAUUCACGAGGGACCUCAUGGGCUGCUGAGAACAAGCACGCUUUUGAAUGAACUCUUUUACGGGUAUCAGUCCAAAAGUCACCAUCAGCUGCAACUGAAAAGCAGAGUGGGUUUUGUUUUUGUUUUUGUUUUGUUUUUGUUUUUGUUUUUCCCCCAGUGGCGGCCAGUUCGGCUCAAAAGCUCAGUUCUUGGAAGGGCCACUUCUUCUUGCCACUGGAGAAGACACACCUCCCUGUGCACCUAAAAAUAAAAAGUAAAUAAAUAAAUGAGUUUGUAAAUUUUUAACGAGGUCCCUCCGGCCCCUCCUGCAGGCCAUAAUUCCCUUUCAGUUUCAGAGAGUGUGUUUCGUGUCUCCACGUGCACAGCUCUGCCUUCCAAGUGGCCCUUCUGGGCUCCGCAGUUUGAGGAACUUGGGUCCCUCAAGGCUCUUUGAGACCCCAGAGCCUUCUCCUGAGCUCAUCUGAGGAGUCUCUGCUCUUUUUCACAGGAGUUCAGCGGGAGGCGUGGAAAUUAGUAUUGUCUGUAAACGCACCAGGAAUGAGCUCUCAACUAAAAAACAAAACAAAAUACACCACACACACACACACACACACACACACAAAGCAAACCCUCAAAACUCAAAAAUGGGGUUUUAACGCGCUUCUGAGGCUACUACUAGAUUUCAAAUCUCCCAAACAAGUCAUUUUCCGAGUCUACUCUGGCUUCAGUUUUCUUGCCUUUUAAAUAACAAAAAAACCAAAGCAAUUUCAUUAAAAGAUUGCUCUCUCUUUUUUUUUUGGCCAGGACGAUAUGAAACUGUUACAGAAAGAGUUGGGUUUGCAGAGAGGUUCUCAGCAAAGAACUCAUUUAAGAUUUUUUUAAAAUCCAGGGAGGUGGGGGGGAUGGGAGGAGGGCCCCUUCUGCAUUAGUGACUCAGCCCUGCCUGGGGGCAUUUCUCAUCAGGGCAAAAAGCCCCUGUGCCCAGCGAGGUGAAACUUGCAAAUGAAACUGUCACCUUUCUCAAUGGACGACUAUGGCCCAGAGCUCACCAAAGGUCACACUAGGCGCCCCCCCUGGUGUUUGGGGACAAAGGAAUAAACAGCUGCCUGGCCCUGUGUUCUAUGAUGAUGUUGGUGGAGGAAAGUCACCCAGCCAGUAAGGGCUUCCCCAAAGGACUUUUUCCUGAUUUGCGCCAAGUUAAGCAUUCAGACAGGAGGCGGCAUGAGGUCAUUCUCAACCGGGUGAGUCACAGACACUGAUCUCCAGGUUGGAGCAG
rnacentral:lncRNA from 1 species